rnacentral:rRNA from 1 species
CUACGUGCCAGCAGCCGCGGUAAUACGUAGGGUGCGAGCGUUAAUCGGAAUUACUGGGCGUAAAGCGGGCGCAGACGGUUACUUAAGCAGGAUGUGAAAUCCCCGGGCUCAACCUGGGAACUGCGUUCUGAACUGGGUGACUAGAGUGUGUCAGAGGGAGGUAGAAUUCCACGUGUAGCAGUGAAAUGCGUAGAGAUGUGGAGGAAUACCGAUGGCGAAGGCAGCCUCCUGGGAUAACACUGACGUUCAUGCCCGAAAGCGUGGGUAGCAAACAGGAUUAGAUACCCUGGUAGUCCACGCCCUAAACGAUGUCGAUUAGCUGUUGGGCAACUUGAUUGCUUAGUAGCGUAGCUAACGCGUGAAAUUGACCGCCUGGGGAGUACGGUCGCAAGAUUAAAACUCAAAGGAAUUGACGGGGACCCGCACAAGCGGUGGAUGAUGUGGAUUAAUUCGAUGCAACGCGAAGAACCUUACCKGUCUUGACAU